GGGAUUGCCCUAGUAACGGCGAGUGAAGCGGCAACAGCUCAAAUUUGAAAUCUGGCGCAAGCCCGAGUUGUAAUUUGUAGAGGAUGCUUCUAGGUAGCGACCGGUCUAAGUUCCUUGGAACAGGACGUCAUAGAGGGUGAGAAUCCCGUAUGUGACUGGCCCGCACCUUCUACGUAGCUCCUUCGACGAGUCGAGUUGUUUGGGAAUGCAGCUCUAAAUGGGAGGUAAAUUUCUUCUAAAGCUAAAUACCGGCCAGAGACCGAUAGCGCACAAGUAGAGUGAUCGAAAGAUGAAAAGCACUUUGGAAAGAGAGUUAAAAAGCACGUGAAAUUGUUGAAAGGGAAGCGCUCACAACCAGACUUCUAGGCAGUGUUCCGCCGGUCUUUUGACCGGUCUACUCUCUGUCUCGAGGCCAACAUCAUCUGGGACCGCUGGAUAAGACCUUAGGAAUGUAGCUCCCCUCGGGGAGUGUUAUAGCCUCUGGUGAUGCAGCGAGUCUCGGGUGAGGUCCGCGCUUCGGCAAGGAUGUUGGCGUAAUGGUUGUCAGCGGCCCGUCUUGAAACACGGACCAAGGAGUCUAACAUCUAUGCGAGUGUUCGGGUGUCAAACCCCUACGCGUAAUGAAAGUGAACGGAGGUGGGAAGCGUAAGCUGCACCAUCGACCGAUCCUGAUGUCCUCGGAUGGAUUUGAGUAAGAGCAUAGCUGUUGGGACCCGAAAGAUGGUGAACUAUGCCUGAAUAGGGUGAAGCCAGAGGAAACUCUGGUGGAGGCUCGCAGCGGUUCUGACGUGCAAAUCGAUCGUCAAAUUUGGGUAUAGGGGCGAAA
rnacentral:rRNA from 1 species